rnacentral:snoRNA from 1 species
UUUCAUGAUGAGAACACGUCCUUAGGACAAACUAUAAACCCAGCUCUUCGACUUUUAAUCUGUAUAUGAGACGAAAACUUGUCAAACGCUCUGAUC